UACGUAGGCACCAAGCGUUGUUCGGAUUCAUUGGGCGUAAAGGGUGUGUAGGUGGCGCGCUAAGUCGGGUGUGAAAUUUCGGAGCUUAACUCCGAAACUGCAUUCGAUACUGCCGUGCUUGAGGACUGGAGAGGAGACUGGAAUUUACGGUGUAGCGGUGAAAUGCGUAGAUAUCGUAAGGAAGACCAGUGGCGAAGGCGGGUCUCUGGACAGCUCCUGACGCUGAGGCACGAAGGCCAGGGGAGCAAACGGG
rnacentral:rRNA from 1 species